GGCGGUUAAAAAUAUAAAACGCCUCAUCCGGCGGACUUUUGCUGAAGGGAAAAUUCCGGUGCCGUAGGCCUAUCUGCCUUUGAUGACAUACGUACAGACCGAUGACAGUGAGGGCAGCGUGUGGGUCGACGUGUCUUCACCUCUAUUCAUUUGCAUCUACAUCAUAUUAACACAUUUUGAAACUGCAGAAUGACUCACAAACACUCACUGUUGUGCUUCCACCCUUUGUUGUGCGCACGCAAUGUCUGUGUGCGUGUAUAAACCCAGUGCUGAUAAACACCCCACUGCCGCCCACAGUCAGCCCGGAAUGAUGCCUCUCCGCGCGGAUGUCACAGACCGGUCGCGGCGCCUCGCCCGACAAAACGUCAUUCAGGGCGACGGCAUGCGGUCUAAAAAGAAUUCCCAUACAGAAAAUAAAAUUGUUCCGACACUGAACAAAAUGGCUUUUUUGGAUUGUCAAGAGACUGAUAAAAUUUUGUGCAGGAUUGUAUGCCAGGACUGUUGUAAAGCAAAACAGUGACAUCCACUUUUUCAGUGGCCAUGGAUCAAGAAGUAGCUUUCCCAUUCUCAAGGAAAAAUAAAUCUGAAAUGAAGAUUUCUGAACCAUGAGCCAA